rnacentral:rRNA from 1 species
UAAAAAGCGAGUCUCGCGACUCUCAAACCCUUUGUGAACUUUAUUCAGUUGAGCUGCUUCGGCAGGCGAGACUCCGGUCUCCCUGGGGCGCCUAGCGCCUGCCUGCCGGUCGGCUCGCCAACCAAACUCUUUGUUAUCUUAAGGACCUCUGAGUUAAAAACAAAAUCUAUUAAAACUUUCAACAACGGAUCUCUUGGUUCUGGCAUCGAUGAAGAACGCAGCGAAAUGCGAUAAGUAAUGUGAAUUGCAGAAUUCAGUGAAUCAUCGAAUCUUUGAACGCACAUUGCGCCCUCUAGUAUUCUGGAGGGCAUGCCUGUUCGAGCGUCAUUUCAACCCCUCUGUACCCUUGGGUAUAGGUGUUGGGGACCCGCUGAAAAGCGGCCCCCUAAAGACAUUGGCGGACCUCCUAUGGUAUCCGAGCGCAGUAACACAUCUCUCGCUCCGGGAACCUGGGCUGGCCUCCUGCCGUAAAACCCCCAAUUUUCUAAGGUUGACCUCGGAUCAGGUAGGAAUACCCGCUGAACUUAAGCAUAUCAAUAAGCGGAGGAAAAGAAACCAACAGGGAUUGCCCUAGUAACGGCGAGUGAAGCGGCAACAGCUCAAAUUUGAAAUCUGGCGCUUGCGUC